GAUGAACGCUGGCGGCGUGCCUAAUACAUGCAAGUCGAGCGAACAGACGAGGAGCUUGCUCCUCUGACGUUAGCGGCGGACGGGUGAGUAACACGUGGAUAACCUACCUAUAAGACUGGGAUAACUUCGGGAAACCGGAGCUAAUACCGGAUAAUAUAUUGAACCGCAUGGUUCAAUAGUGAAAGACGGUUUUGCUUUCACUUAUAGAUGGAUCCGCGCCGCAUUAGCUAGUUGGUAAGGUAACGGCUUACCAAGGCAACGAUGCGUAGCCGACCUGAGAGGGUGAUCGGCCACACUGGAACUGAGACACGGUCCAGACUCCUACGGGAGGCAGCAGUAGGGAAUCUUCCGCAAUGGGCGAAAGCCUGACGGAGCAACGCCGCGUGAGUGAUGAAGGUCUUCGGAUCGUAAAACUCUGUUAUUAGGGAAGAACAAAUGUGUAAGUAACUAUGCACGUCUUGACGGUACCUAAUCAGAAAGCCACGGCUAACUACGUG
rnacentral:rRNA from 1 species